UCAUAUCAAUAAGCGGAGGAAAAGAAACCAACAGGGAUUACCUCAGUAACGGCGAGUGAAGCGGCAAUAGCUCAAAUUUGAAAUCUGGCUCUUUCAGGGUCCGAGUUGUAAUUUGUAGAGGAUGUUUCGGGCACGGUUACGGUUUAAAUUUCUUGGAACAGAAUGUCAUAGAGGGUGAGAGUCCCGUCUUGAACCGAUUACUUCGUCCAUGUGAAACUCCUUCGACGAGUCGAGUUGUUUGGGAAUGCAGCUCAAAAUGGGUGGUAAAUUUCAUCUAAAGCUAAAUAUUGGCCAGAGACCGAUAGCGCACAAGUAGAGUGAUCGAAAGAUGAAAAGCACUUUGAAAAGAGAGUUAAACAGUAUGUGAAAUUGUUGAAAGGGAAGCGCUUGUAAUCAGACUUGAGCUUAACAGUUCCCCCUCCGGUCUCGGUGGGUUAUUCUGUUUUGUCCAGGCCAACAUCAGUUCGAGUGGUUGGUUAAAGAUUUUAGGAAUGUAUCUACCCUCCGGGGUCGACUUAUAGCCUAGAGUGUCAUGCAGCCUACUUGGACUGAGGAACGCGCUUCGGCUCGGAUGUUGGCGUAAUGGUUACAAGCGACCCGUCUUGAAACACGGACCAAGGAGUCUAACAUCUAUGCGAGUGUUUGGGUGUCAAACCCGUACGCGUAAUGAAAGUGAACGCCGGUAAGAAGCCUUAAGGCUGCAUUAUCGACCGAUCCGGAUGUCUUCGGAUGGAUUUGAGUAAGAGCAUAGCUGUUGGGACCCGAAAGAUGGUGAACUAUGCCUGAAUAGUGGUGAAGCCAGAGGAAACUCUGGUGGAGGCUCGCAGCGGUUCUGACGUGCAAAUCGAUCGUCAAAUUUGGGUAUAGGGGCGAAAGACUAAUCGAACCAUCUGGU
rnacentral:rRNA from 1 species